UGUUUAUUCAACAGACCUGGCUAAUCUUC
rnacentral:piRNA from 1 species